GAACGCGAAGAACCUUACCCGGGCUCGAACGGCGGAUGAAUAUGUCAGAGAAGACAUAGUCGCAAGACAUCCGUCGAGGUGCUGCAUGGUUGUCGUCAGCUCGUGCCGUGAGGUGUCGGCUUAAGUGCCAUAACGAGCGCAACCCUUGCCGUCAGUUGCCAUCAGGAUAAGCUGGGGACUCUGUCGGGACUGCCACCGCAAGGUGUGAGGAGGGGGGGGAUGACGUCAAAUCAGCACGGCCCUUACGUCCGGGGCUACACACGUGUUACAAUGGCGACUACAGAGGGGAGCCACCCGGUGACGGGGCGCCGAUCUCCAAAAGUCGUCUCAGUUCGGACUGGAGUCUGCAACCCGACUCCACGAAGCUGGAUUCGCUAGUAAUCGCACAUCAGCCAUGGUGCGGUGAAUACGUUCCCGGGUCUUGUACACACC
rnacentral:rRNA from 1 species